GGAUUCAUUUCAGGAGAGAAGGAAGAAGUCCAACCCAUCACUUAACAAGAGAUGGACAACUGGAAUGCCAGUUGCUGGAAUACUAACCCUCUCUGUCAGUGUCUUGGAGCCAGCUUUGCUGAGCAUCUGUCUAGAAUGACAAUGAAAACAUCUUUCAGCAUCAGGUUCUGCAGAAUGAAGUCACUACCCACUGCAGUCCCCGACCUCCAACACGCCCUGACAGGAGUUCAGGAUGGAGAUCAGGAAGGAGGCACUCUGUGCUCUGGGAAAACUGACACAGCAGAGAGACAUCUGUUCCUCCUGAUUCUCAGCCGCUUUCUCCCAAGAUGUGAGUUGAUCUGCACGUCAUCCCUUCACCAUAGUCACAUGCAUACUGAC